UUAAUGUCCAGGAGAGUGGCCCUCCGCAUGGAGGGUUGACUAGAGAUUUAUCGGUAUGGGAUGAGCUUGCGUCCGAUUAGCUAGUUGGCGGGGCAACGGCCCGCCAAGGCGACGAUCGGUAGCCGGCCUGAGAGGGUGAUCGGCCACAUUGGGACUGAGAUACGGCCCAGACUCCUACGGGAGGCAGCAGUAGGGAAUAUUGCACAAUGGGGGAAACCCUGAUGCAGCAACGCCACGUGUGGGAAGAAGCAUUUCGGUGUGUAAACCACUGUCAUGAGGGAAUAAGGCCCGCCUCCGGGCGGGAUUGAAUGUACCUUGAGAGGAAGCACCGGCAAACUUCGUGCCAGCAGCCGCGGUAAUACGAGGGGUGCAAGCGUUGUUCGGAAUUACUGGGCGUAAAGGGAGCGUAGGCGGAGAUUCAAGCGGAUUGUACAAUCCCGGGGCCCAACCCCGGCUCUGCAGUCCGAACUGGAUCUCUUGGAUAGUUCAGGGGCAGGCGGAAUUCCUGGUGUAGCGGUGGAAUGCGUAGAGAUCAGGAAGAACACCGAUGGCGAANGCAGCCUGCUGGGGACUUAUCGACGCUGAGGCUCGAAAGUGCGGGUAGCGAACAGGAUUAGAUACCCUGGUAGUCCGCACCGUAAACAAUGCAUACUGGGUGUCCGGGGUUCCCCCGGGUACCGUANCCAACGCGUUAAGUNUGCCGCCUGGGGAGUACGUACGCAAGUAUGAAACUCAAAGGAAUUGACGGGGCCGCACA
rnacentral:rRNA from 1 species